rnacentral:rRNA from 1 species
GUUAACCGAAUAGGGGAGCCGAAGGGAAACCGAGUCUUAACCGGGCGUUAAGUUGCAGGGUAUAGACCCGAAACCCGGUGAUCUAGCCAUGGGCAGGUUGAAGGUUGGGUAACACUAACUGGAGGACCGAACCGACUAAUGUUGAAAAAUUAGCGGAUGACUUGUGGCUGGGGGUGAAAGGCCAAUCAAACCGGGAGAUAGCUGGUUCUCCCCGAAAGCUAUUUAGGUAGCGCCUCGUGAAUUCAUCUCCGGGGGUAGAGCACUGUUUCGGCAAGGGGGUCAUCCCGACUUACCAACCCGAUGCAAACUGCGAAUACCGGAGAAUGUUAUCACGGGAGACACACGGCGGGUGCUAACGUCCGUCGUGAAGAGGGAAACAACCCAGACCGCCAGCUAAGGUCCCAAAGUCAUGGUUAAGUGGGAAACGAUGUGGGAAGGCCCAGACAGCCAGGAUGUUGGCUUAGAAGCAGCCAUCAUUUAAAGAAAGCGUAAUAGCUCACUGGUCGAGUCGGCCUGCGCGGAAGAUGUAACGGGGCUAAACCAUGCACCGAAGCUGCGGCAGCGACACUGUGUGUUGUUGGGUAGGGGAGCGUUCUGUAAGCCUGUGAAGGUGUGCUGUGAGGCAUGCUGGAGGUAUCAGAAGUGCGAAUGCUGACAUAAGUAACGAUAAAGCGGGUGAAAAGCCCGCUCGCCGGAAGACCAAGGGUUCCUGUCCAACGUUAAUCGGGGCAGGGUGAGUCGACCCCUAAGGCGAGGCCGAAAGGCGUAGUCGAUGGGAAACAGGUUAAUAUUCCUGUACUUGGUGUUACUGCGAAGGGGGGACGGAGAAGGCUAUGUUGGCCGGGCGACGGUUGUCCCGGUUUAAGCGUGUAGGCUGGUUUUCCAGGCAAAUCCGGAAAAUCAAGGCUGAGGCGUGAUGACGAGGCACUACGGUGCUGAAGCAACAAAUGCCCUGCUUCCAGGAAAAGCCUCUAAGCAUCAGGUAACAUCAAAUCGUACCCCAAACCGACACAGGUGGUCAGGUAGAGAAUACCAAGGCGCUUGAGAGAACUCGGGUGAAGGAACUAGGCAAAAUGGUGCCGUAACUUCGGGAGAAGGCACGCUGAUAUGUAGGUGAAGUCCCUCGCGGAUGGAGCUGAAAUCAGUCGAAGAUACCAGCUGGCUGCAACUGUUUAUUAAAAACACAGCACUGUGCAAACACGAAAGUGGACGUAUACGGUGUGACGCCUGCCCGGUGCCGGAAGGUUAAUUGAUGGGGUCAGCGCAAGCGAAGCUCUUGAUCGAAGCCCCGGUAAACGGCGGCCGUAACUAUAACGGUCCUAAGGUAGCGAAAUUCCUUGUCGGGUAAGUUCCGACCUGCACGAAUGGCGUAAUGAUGGCCAGGCUGUCUCCACCCGAGACUCAGUGAAAUUGAACUCGCUGUGAAGAUGCAGUGUACCCGCGGCAAGACGGAAAGACCCCGUGAACCUUUACUAUAGCUUGACACUGAACAUUGAGCCUUGAUGUGUAGGAUAGGUGGGAGGCUUUGAAGUGUGGACGCCAGUCUGCAUGGAGCCGACCUUGAAAUACCACCCUUUAAUGUUUGAUGUUCUAACGUGGACCCGUGAUCCGGGUUGCGGACAGUGUCUGGUGGGUAGUUUGACUGGGGCGGUCUCCUCCUAAAGAGUAACGGAGGAGCACGAAGGUUGGCUAAUCCUGGUCGGACAUCAGGAGGUUAGUGCAAUGGCAUAAGCCAGCUUGACUGCGAGCGUGACGGCGCGAGCAGGUGCGAAAGCAGGUCAUAGUGAUCCGGUGGUUCUGAAUGGAAGGGCCAUCGCUCAACGGAUAAAAGGUACUCCGGGGAUAACAGGCUGAUACCGCCCAAGAGUUCAUAUCGACGGCGGUGUUUGGCACCUCGAUGUCGGCUCAUCACAUCCUGGGGCUGAAGUAGGUCCCAAGGGUAUGGCUGUUCGCCAUUUAAAGUGGUACGCGAGCUGGGUUUAGAACGUCGUGAGACAGUUCGGUCCCUAUCUGCCGUGGGCGCUGGAGAACUGAGGGGGGCUGCUCCUAGUACGAGAGGACCGGAGUGGACGCAUCACUGGUGUUCGGGUUGUCAUGCCAAUGGCACUGCCCGGUAGCUAAAUGCGGAAGAGAUAAGUGCUGAAAGCAUCUAAGCACGAAACUUGCCCCGAGAUGAGUUCUCCCUGACCCUUUAAGGGUCCUGAAGGAACGUUGAAGACGACGACGUUGAUAGGCCGGGUGUGUAAGCGCAGCGAUGCGUUGAGCUAACCGGUACUAAUGAACCGUGAGGCUUAACCUUACAACGCCGAAGGUGUUU